AAAAAAGGUAAGCUACUAAGAGCGAAUGGUGGAUGCCUUGACUGGUAAAGGCGAUGAAGGACGUACUAGACUGCGAUAAGCUACGGGGAGCUGUCAAGAAGCUUUGAUCCGUAGAUUUCCGAAUGGGGCAACCCAAUGUAUAGAGAUAUACAUUACCUAUAUAGGAGCGAACGAGGGGAAUUGAAACAUCUUAGUACCCUCAGGAAAAGAAAUCAAUAGAGAUUGCGUCAGUAGCGGCGAGCGAAAGCGCAAGAGGGCAAACCCAGUGCUUGCACUGGGGGUUGUAGGACUGCAAUGUGCAAGAGGUAAGUUUAGCAGAACAUUCUGGAAAGUAUAGCCAUAGAGGGUGAUAGUCCCGUAUGCGAAAAACAAACCUUAGCUAGCAGUAUCCUGAGUAGGGCGGGACACGAGAAAUCCUGUCUGAAGCUGGGUCGACCACGAUCCAACCCUAAAUACUAAUACCAGAUCGAUAGUGCACAAGUACCGUGAGGGAAAGGUGAAAAGAACUGAGGUGAUCAGAGUGAAAUAGAACCUGAAACCAUUUGCUUACAAUCAUUCAGAGCCCUAUGUAGCAAUACAGGGUGAUGGACUGCCUUUUGCAUAAUGAGCCUGCGAGUUGUGGUGUCUGGCAAGGUUAAGCAAACGCGAAGCCGUAGCGAAAGCGAGUCUGAAUAGGGCGCUUAGUCAGAUGCUGCAGACCCGAAACGAAGUGAUCUAUCCAUGAGCAAGUUGAAGCUAGUGUAAGAACUAGUGGAGGACUGAACCCAUAGGCGUUGAAAAGCCCCGGGAUGACUUGUGGAUAGGGGUGAAAGGCCAAUCAAACUUCGUGAUAGCUGGUUCUCUCCGAAAUAUAUUUAGGUAUAGCGUUGUGUCGUAAUAUAAGGGGGUAGAGCACUGAAUGGGCUAGGGCAUACACCAAUGUACCAAACCCUAUCAAACUCCGAAUACCUUAUAUGUAAUCACAGCAGUCAGGCGGCGAGUGAUAAAAUCCGUCGUCAAGAGGGAAACAACCCAGACUACCAGCUAAGGUCCCUAAAUCUUACUUAAGUGGAAAACGAUGUGAAGUUACUUAAACAACCAGGAGGUUGGCUUAGAAGCAGCCAUCCUUUAAAGAAAGCGUAAUAGCUCACUGGUCUAGUGAUUUUGCGCGGAAAAUAUAACGGGGCUAAAGUAAGUACCGAAGCUGUAGACUUGCGCACAACUUAGAUUAUUUAAGUUUAGAAUAUGAGAAACUAAGUUAUAUGUUUAGUUAUAUUUUUACUGAUUUUUAUAGAGUAAAGAUAGAAAUAAAACUUAGUAAAAUCAGUAAAAAUAUUCUUAGACUAAAGUUAAGUAGUUUAAGUUGUGUGCAAGUGGUAGGAGAGCGUUCUAUUUGCGUCGAAGGUAUACCGGUAAGGAGUGCUGGAGCGAAUAGAAGUGAGCAUGCAGGCAUGAGUAGCGAUAAUUAAUGUGAGAAUCAUUAACGCCGUAAACCCAAGGUUUCCUACGCGAUGCUCGUCAUCGUAGGGUUAGUCGGGUCCUAAGUCGAGUCCGAAAGGGGUAGACGAUGGCAAAUUGGUUAAUAUUCCAAUACCAACAUUAGUGUGCGAUGGAAGGACGCUUAGGGCUAAGGGGGCUAGCGGAUGGAAGUGCUAGUCUAAGGUCGUAGGAGGUUAUACAGGCAAAUCCGUAUAACAAUACUCCGAGAACUGAAAGGCUUUUUGAAGUCUUCGGAUGGAUAGAAGAACCCCUGAUGCCGUCGAGCCAAGAAAAGUUUCUAAGUUUAGCUAAUGUUGCCCGUACCGUAAACCGACACAGGUGGGUGGGAUGAGUAUUCUAAGGCGCGUGGAAGAACUCUCUUUAAGGAACUCUGCAAAAUAGCACCGUAUCUUCGGUAUAAGGUGUGGUUCGCUUCGUAUUAGGAUUUACUCCGAAAGCGAAGAAACUUACAACAAAGAGUCCCUCCCGACUGUUUACCAAAAACACAGCACUCUGCUAACUCGUAAGAGGAUGUAUAGGGUGUGACGCCUGCCCGGUGCUCGAAGGUUAAUUGAUGGGGUUAGCAUUAGCGAAGCUCUUGAUCGAAGCCCGAGUAAACGGCGGCCGUAACUAUAACGGUCCUAAGGUAGCGAAAUUCCUUGUCGGUUAAAUACCGACCUGCAUGAAUGGCGUAACGAGAUGGGAGCUGUCUCAAAGAGGGAUCCAGUGAAAUUGUAGUGGAGGUGAAAAUUCCUCCUACCCGCGGCAAGACGGAAAGACCCCGUGGACCUUUACUACAGCUUGACACUGCUAUUUGGAUAAGAAUGUGCAGGAUAGGUGGGAGGCUUUGAGUAUAUGACGCCAGUUGUAUAUGAGCCAUUGUUGAGAUACCACUCUUUCUUAUUUGGGUAGCUAACCAGCUUGAGUUAUCCUCAAGUGGGACAAUGUCUGGUGGGUAGUUUGACUGGGGCGGUCGCCUCCCAAAUAAUAACGGAGGCUUACAAAGGUUGGCUCAGAACGGUUGGAAAUCGUUCGUAGAGUAUAAAGGUAUAAGCCAGCUUAACUGCAAGACAUACAAGUCAAGCAGAGACGAAAGUCGGU
rnacentral:rRNA from 1 species